AUGUCAUGGUGCGGACACUUCCUAAGCAAAUCGUUCAAUCGCUCCCAUGCCUCAUGAAAAUUUUCCCCUUCCCCUUGAGAAAAUUCUCAAAUUGAAGUUCUCAUUGC